UAGAAAAUUCGAGAGCUGGAAAAUUCACUGCAUGAAGCUAAAGAAAGUGCUAUGCAUAAGGAAAGCAAGAUUAUAAAGAUGCAGAAAGAACUUGAGGUGACUAAUGACAUAAUAGCAAAACUUCAAGCCAAAGUUAAUGAAUCAAAUAAAUGCCUUGAAAAAACAAAAGAGACAAUUCAAGUACUUCAGGACAAAGUUGCUUUAGGAGCUAAACCAUAUAAAGAAGAAAUUGAAGAUCUCAAAACGAAGCUUGUGAAAAUAGACCUAGAGAAAAUGAAAAAUGCCAAAGAAUUUGAAAAGGAGUACGUAUUUGUCUUAAUUUAAUGUGAUUUUAAUAGCUUAAAUUUUCUUCCUAAACUACAUAUACUUUUCAUUAGUUAACUUUUUAAAAUAUAAUUUAUGAAAAUAUUGUUACUGCUCUUUUUUAAAAAAUGUACACAUCAUAGAUUUUAAAUAUACUGGUCUCAUUACAUAUGCAAAGUUUUUAAAACUAAGCACAAUUCUGAUCAAUUAA
rnacentral:sRNA from 1 species